GAGUUUGAUCCUGGCUCAGGAUGAACGCUAGCGGCAGGCUUAACACAUGCAAGUCGAGGGGUAUAGAGAGCUUGCUCUUUAGAGACCGGCGCACGGGUGCGUAACGCGUAUGCAAUCUACCUUUUACAGCGGGAUAGCCCAGAGAAAUUUGGAUUAAUACCGCAUAGUAUAACGACUCGGCAUCGAGAUGUUAUUAAAGUCACAACGGUAAAAGAUGAGCAUGCGUCCCAUUAGCUAGUUGGUAAGGUAACGGCUUACCAAGGCUACGAUGGGUAGGGGUCCUGAGAGGGAGAUCCCCCACACUGGUACUGAGACACGGACCAGACUCCUACGGGAGGCAGCAGUGAGGAAUAUUGGUCAAUGGACGCAAGUCUGAACCAGCCAUGCCGCGUGCAGGAUGACGGUCCUAUGGAUUGUAAACUGCUUUUGUACGAGAAGAAACAACUCUACGUGUAGAGUCUUGACGGUAUCGUAAGAAUAAGGAUCGGCUAACUCCGUGCCAGCAGCCGCGGUAAUACGGAGGAUCCAAGCGUUAUCCGGAAUCAUUGGGUUUAAAGGGUCCGUAGGCGGUCUUAUAAGUAAUCCCGCGG
rnacentral:rRNA from 1 species